CACCUUUUCCCUCGAAUGCAUUAGAUAACUAAUAACCACGUCGCUUGGCGCGUAAUCUAGAUCCCCGCUCUGCAUUACGUUUUCAACGAAUUCGUCAUACGAACUGUUGCAGUGAACAGGAAUAGAAAUUGUUACCUUGGUAAAUGAUCUUCAUUUCCAAUUAGGAGUCUCCACCGAUUCUCUCAUGAAAUCACCAGAAAUCAGAACAAAUUCUACAAUACCCAUCGUAGAAUUAAGCUUUGGUCGAUGGUAAAUUAUGCUUACGGUCUAUGUCGGAUUGUAUGCAUGGUCUAUGACUGACGAUGACAGGUCGAUGGCUGCGUAGAUAUCCGUACAAAAAUUUGAAAUUGCAAAUAUUGCUUCUAAUCAAUGAUUGUUGGGUUUAUGGAGUAGAGAAAUGAACUUGGAGUCGCCUGAGAUACUGUAAUGCACUUUCUAAAGUGGUUUUGAGUAAUGUGAGUGAUUUAAAGCUUUUUAACAAUGGUGGAAAGUGUGUUUGAGAAGAUAGGAAACAAAUGGGAUAACAAUGGAUGCAAUGGACAAGCUUAUGAUGUUUGUGGACUGAUUUACAGUUAAUCGUCGGAAAAUAACGCCGGAAAAGUGGCCGAAAUCGGAUCUUUUUGGAGCGAAAAAUAACCACCUUCUAUUUUUAGCUUUUGAUAUAUUUUUUUAAAAUAUUUUUGAAAAACCUAGAUAUUGUUGUAUAUAUAAUGGUGGAUGAUGGAGUGGGUUGAAGUGUAUUAUUAGAAACUUAUGGGUGAAUUUAUUAAGUUGGAAGUAUUGGGUUAAAGUGAACUAUUAUAAAUGUUGGGGCUGAAAUUGUUGAGUUGAAAAAGUUCAUGGUGAGGUGAAAUUAUGUGGGUAUUUAGCCAAUAUUUUAAAACUUUUGGGUAUUUGACAAAAUAAUUUUGAAGAGGUAUUUUGGCAUACUUGCCCCAAAAACUUUUCUAGAAAUGGUUAACUCUACUUCUUCAAAUAAAGGGAAGAAAAAUCAUAAACACAAUUUGGAAAGUAUUGUAUCAACCUAAGCCAAGUAAAAACACCUAGAGUUGGAAUAAAAGAGAACCUUAACUUAGCUACUUGACUAUGCAAGACCCAGAGGUGAUAUUAGUCACGGGUAAAUUCUAGAUAAGAGAUAAUGUAUGCUUAAGGCAUUUGGUAGCCAGAAAUUGAUCCCUUACUCCCCCACAAUAACAAAACUAGUUGAUGCACAACUAUUGGGAGAACCUAAACUUUUUCCCUAAACAUGCAUUCUUGUUUAGCAGUUAAUCUUGUGUUUUCAACUUCCGCCAUCACUCAAACAAAAAGUCAACAUUUCCUAUUUGAACGGCAAAGUAAACUUGUUCUGUUUUCUCAAAUGAAGGUGGAAUGCUUUUUAAUUCAAAAUUCAUGAUCAAUGGUGUUUUAUAUGCUUUUGAAGUACACAGCUUCUAUUACAAAAAACCAAUACAAUGAUAGUCAUGAUUUUCGAUAAUAUUAUGAGCAAUCAGGUCAGGUUUUUCAGAAGGAAGAAAUCUAUAAUAGCUAGGCACUACCAAAGUUAAGGUUCCAUUAAGUAGAGUAAAGAAAUAAUACAGCUCCUACAUUAUUUACUUUGAACUAUUCAUGAAAUUUUUCCUCACUUCCAUAUGGAAAGAACUGUAAUAUUUCACAAGAAUUUUACAUACAUCCCUAGAGUUACUUGUACUGGCAUCGGACUAUAAUUAUUUCACGAAAAUUAUUCCUCACUACCAUAUCGAAAGAACUCGCAUAUUUUGUAACAUCCCCUGCCUAAGACACUGAAGAUUCAUGCAGUAGAGGCAUAAAGUUUGGGGCAAACUGGUACUAAAUAACUCACACACCAACUAGGAACUAAAUGAGGCCUUAAUUGAGAGGAGAGUAAUAAUAACCAUACUUGUAGGGGAGUAAUAACAACAAUAUCUGUAGGAGAGUAAUAUAAUUCUAGUACUUCUCUAAGAACUAAAUGAAUCAAGAAGAUACUAAACUUUUAAAUAAUCAAGACCUUAAUAAACAUACAGAAAUUACCCGAAGGAAAAAUCUGUCCUUUAAACUCAUUUAGCCACUCAACCAUUUCGCACCCUACAUGCAUUCUUUAUUCCAAGUCUAAUGAACCCUAUCCCACCCUCAAACACAUGCACACAUACCUAAAAGAAAAAAAAAGAAUCAUCUAUGACACUAAGACUAACUUUAAAGAGCACAAAAUUGUUGUAUGGAAAGAUCCCGUUAAAAAGUUGGCAUCAAAAACACAAUCGCAGAGAACGGGCUAAGCACUAUUUACCUCAACUGUGGCAAAAGUUUCCUUAAAUAAUCACGUACAGAAAAUCUUCAGUUGUUUACAAAAUCAAAAAAAUACAAUUCAGAUUGCCGAUCAAACAAGUUCAGUAGUAUCUGUAAGCAAUGAGAAAUGUUUGAUAAACUGCAUAUAUAUUCAAAAGCUUUCUUGCCUUAGAAGAAUAUUAGCCCAUGAGUUUUUUCAUCAUGAUCUAGCGUUCAUCAAGAAAAAAAAAAGAGCAGCAUUGAUAUCUAAUUAAUCUAAACUAAAAGAACAAUGCCAAUAACCCGAAAACGUUUGUAACACUUAAGGGAGGUUUAAAUCAAGAAAGACAUUUUUUCAUAAAAAUUUCCACAAAAGCAAAGAUAAACACUAACCUGGAUGUGAAUCAAGUGAAGUGACUCGGGUGCAAAGGAAGUAGAUGGAAGAGGGAAAAGGGGGAAGUUAGGGACUAUUUACUACAACAUUGAGAGUACAAUAAUCAAGAUUCAUGAAUUGAGGAUAAGACCAAACUUAAAAGGUCAAGAAGAAGAGGAUAGUAACAAACUUAAAAGCAAAAAACUACCGCAAUCAAGAUUCAAGAACUGAGGAUAAUUACAAACUUAAUUAAGACGAGAUUACAACAAUCAACACUUAAGACGACAGCCACAUAUAUAGACACAAUGAAAACAGUCCAUAUGACGACAUGAGCAAAUGCAGUCUCGUGGCACUUCAAUCCAACUUGUAGUUUGUAACAUAACGAGGAAAACAGCAUCUUUUUUGAGCGAUUUCACACUUUGUCACUGUUAUUAUAUAUGGUUCUUGGACAUUAUCAUAGAUGAGCUCAUACUGAAGUUCUAUUUAUCCCUCUACCUUUAGCUUAACAGACUAGUAGUCUCCUUAAUUUUCUCUUGUUUGUGUUGGCUCUGAAUUUUGUGGGAUAUGGGUGUUAAGUAUUGAAAUUCAGGUUGAUUUAAAAAAUGGCAACGUACCGGGCAAUUGUUUAUCUUUUGUCUCCUUACGUGGAUGUAGGUCGAUUGAUCGAACCACGUUAAAUAUUUUAUCUCAUUACAGGAUUGCAUCAGGGAUCUGCUCUUAGUCCCUUUUUGUUUGCGUUGGUGAUGGAUGUGUUGACGCGGCGUAUUCAAGGGGAGGUGCCGUGGUGUAUGCUUUUUGCAGACGAUGUAGUUCUGAUAGAUGAGACUCGAGGGGGUGUGAAUGACAAAUUAGAGGUGUGGAGGCAAACUCUUGAGUCUAAAGGGUUCAGGGUGAGCAGAAGCAAGACAGAGUAUGUGGAAUGCAAGUUUAAUGACGUGAGACGGGAGAAUGAGGUAGUAGUGAAGCUGGAAGCACAGGAGGUAUGUAAGAGGGAUAAUUUCAAGUAUCUUGGGUUCGUGAUACAGUGUAACGGUGAGAUUGACGAGGAUGUCUCGCAUCGUAUUGGGGUGGGAUGGAUGAAGUGGAAGCUCGCGUCGGGGGUGCUGUGUGAUAACAAGGUGCCGCCCAAGCUUAAAGGCAAAUUCUACAGGGUGGUAGUCCGUCCGGCCUUGUUGUAUGGAGCGGAGUGUUGGCCAAUUAAGAACUCCCACAUCCAAAAAAUGAAGGUGGCAGAAAUGCGGAUGUUGCACUGGAUGUGUGGGCUGACUAGAGGGGAGAGAGUUCGGAAUGAGACUAUCGGGGAGAAAGUUGGUGUGACUUCAGUGGAGUGCAAGAUGCGAGAAGCACAAUUGAGAUGGUUCGGACACGUGAAGAGGAGGGGCAUGGAUGCCCCGGUCCGUAGGUGCGAGAGGCUAGCGUUGG
rnacentral:lncRNA from 1 species